ensembl:antisense Gm38250 predicted gene, 38250
AUUAGGGCCAGCCGGGUAAAGCUGAGCGGGUGUGCUAUUCCUUAGGCUGUCGAGGCUGUCUCCUACCAGACAGAAACCGAGGUCCAAGGAAGAGGAGGGGAGAGUUUCGGAGCCAAAUGGUUAUCCUCCAACUAGACUUUACACCCGAUGUUCACUUAGUCUCCCUAGGACAUGUUGUUUCCUUUGCUUCCAGGAACUUUGUCAAGGGCACCAAAGAGGAAUCUUACUAUGUAAGGCCAGGCUGGCCUCCAAUUUACAGAAAUUCACCUAUCUCUACCUCCUAAGUGCUGGGAUUAAAGGCAUUUGCCAUGACACUUGGUGAGGUUUUUAUUAUUAUUAUUAUUAUUAUUAUUAUUGUUUUUGCCUGCAUGUGUGUAUGUGCAGCAAGUGCAUGGCCAGUACCCACGAAGGUCAGAGGAGGGCUUUUGGGUCUCCUGGAACUAGAGUUACAGAUGGCUGUGA